rnacentral:lncRNA from 1 species
AGGGCCACACCUGAGGCAUAUGGAGGUUCUCAGGCUAGGGGUUGAAUUGGAGCUACAGCUGCCGGCCUACACCACAGCCACAGCAACACAGGAUCCUAACCAACCGUCUGUGACCUACACCACAGCUCAUGACAACGCUGGCUCCUUAACCCACUGAGCGAGACCAGGGAUCGAACCUUUGUCCUCAUGGAUUCUAGUCGGGAAUCUAGUACCACUGAUCCACGACGGGAACUCCCAACAUUUGCGGUUGCUUAUAUUCCCUGGGAUUCCUGCAAAAUACGAAAAUCUCAACUGAAAGUUGUUUUUGUAGAAAAAUUCUUUUUUAAAAAAAUUUGGCCAUGUCCACGGCAUGCAGAAGCUCUGGACCAGGGAUCAAAUCUGUGCCACUGCAGUCACAAUGCCAGAUCCUCAACCCACCUAGCCACCAGGGAACUUCUGUUUUCAUAGGAAAAUUCUAAACACCAAAUUUUAUAGGUAAUAAAGGUAACAUAAGGAGAAGUUUUAAUUAAGCAUAUGUUAACUCUGAUCUUGCAAUUUCCUUUGGUUAUCUUCUUUUCUUCAGGAAAAAAAAAAAAGUCUCCUAAUGCCUGCAAAUCUAAGAGGCAAUGUGAGCUAGUGGCAGCAGAGGUAGGAACCCACACCCAUGACCUCUCAAAGCAAGGCAUCCUCUGAGAACCCUAGUCCUCACAAGGGAAGAGAGGAACCUCCCCCCAGGGGCACGCCCACCUACACAGACGCUGCCAGACGGCCGGGACGAGGGGAGCUCAGGGGGUCUACCCCUCCCCCCCAAGCCUGCCCCACCGUUCCUGAAAUAAGCUGCUGUGGAAGGGGCUGCCCCUCCCUCUUUCAGCGCCUGCCUCCCCUCCCAUCCACCCUCCCGGCAACUCUAUAAAUCAUCCAGCGUCAGCACAAACCCCCCCUUGCAAGGUUUCCCACAAAGAAUUACUGUUAGGUAAAACAAAUGGGGAAGGGUGGUGCUUCUUCGAGGCUGACCGGGGCACGAGGGGAAGGAAACGGAGAAGGUGAGCUAAGGGCCUCGAGCUGAUAUGCAUACCGGAUCUUUGUUUUCAGUGACAGAGCUCUAGGGCAGCCUCAUUUUCGUUUCCAUUUGAGGCUGGGGGUGGGGAAGGCGGAGAGCUUUGGUGCUGGGAAUAUACAUACUGAUGAAGAUGAGGUCAAAACCGGAAGCAGCUGGUUGACCUGGAAGAAAAACUUUCUGGUCGUAGAGUCACAACUUCUCUUCUUUUUAGCGACCCAAAAGAUGCCUGCCAGGCCAGACAAAGAAUCUGAAUCUGUCCUUUUUCACAGGAUAUUCCAUGUAUAAAUAAUAUCAUAUAAUUUGUCUCUCACUUACUUCACUUGGUAUGAUAAUCUUUAGGUCCAUCCAUGUUGCUGCCAAUGGCAUUAUUUCAUUCUUGUUUAAGGCUGAGUAAUAUUCCAUUGUAUAUAUGUACCACAUCUCCUUUAUCCACUCUUCUGUUGAUGGACAUUUAGGUUGCCUCCAUGUCUUGGCUAUUGUAACUAGUGCUGCAAUGAACAUUGGAGUGCAUAUAUCUUUUCAAAUUAUGGUUUUUUUCAGGUAGAUGUCCAGGAGUGGCUGGAUCACAGAUCAUAUGGUCAGACAAUAGCUCUCUGGACUUCUCCAGAAUGACCCACAAUGGUGAUUCCUUCCCAGUCAAGACUCUCCCCUUAUUCUGUUCCUUUGGGUUACACAGUCUCCAAACUGUUCUCAUCAUGCUCAAAGUACAAAUGUGCCCCUGGGGAGAGGAACAUACUAGCUUCCUAAUUCUUUCAUGUUGAGAGAAUUCAGGGGCCCUCUGUGACAGAAAGGAGCCCAUCAAGCUGAAAGUGAGGCGGGGGGAUAGGGUGAAAGAGACAGCUGAAGGGAGGUGAGGAGGCCUGCAGGCCAUAUUAGCCUUCGUCACAGUAGGUCCAGCAUUCUGCAGACAGCCUGCUGAGUUCAGGGCGUGGGAGAAGGGGGCCUCCAUCU